rnacentral:rRNA from 1 species
AGUGAACGCUGGCGGUAGGCCUAACACAUGCAAGUCGAACGGCAGCACAGUAAGAGCUUGCUCUUACGGGUGGCGAGUGGCGGACGGGUGAGGAAUACAUCGGAAUCUACUUUUUCGUGGGGGAUCACGUAGGGACACUUACGCUAAUCCCCCCUACCACCUACGGGUGAAACCAGCGGACCUUCGCACCUUCCCCCAUUCCCUCCCCCGAUGCCGGAUUAGCUAGUUGGCGGGGUAAAGGCCCACCAAGGCGACGAUCCGUAGCUGGUCUGAGAGGAUGAUCAGCCACACUGGAACUGAGACACGGUCCAGACUCCUACGGGAGGCAGCAGUGGGGAAUAUUGGACAAUGGGCGCAAGCCUGAUCCAGCCAUACCGCGUGGGUGAAGAAGGCCUUCGGGUUGUAAAGCCCUUUUGUUGGGAAAGAAAAGCAGCAGGUUAAUACCCCGCUGUUCUGACGGUACCCAAAGAAUAAGCACCGGCUAACUUCGUG